GACGAACGCUGGCGGCGUGCUUAACACAUGCAAGUCGAACGGAAAGGCCCUGCUUUUGUGGGGUGCUCGAGUGGCGAACGGGUGAGUAACACGUGAGUAACCUGCCCUUGACUUUGGGAUAACUUCAGGAAACUGGGGCUAAUACCGGAUAGGAGCUCCUGCUGCAUGGUGGGGGUUGGAAAGUUUCGGCGGUUGGGGAUGGACUCGCGGCUUAUCAGCUUGUUGGUGGGGUAGUGGCUUACCAAGGCUUUGACGGGUAGCCGGCCUGGGAGGGUGACCGGCCACCUUGGGACUGGGGUACGGCCCAGACUCCUACGGGAGGCAGCGGUGGUGAAUAUUGCCCAAUGGGCGGCAGCCUGAUGCGGCAGCGCCGCGUGCGGGAUGACGGCCUUCGGGUUGUAAACCGCUUUCGCCUGUGACGAAGCGUGAGUGACGGUAAUGGGUAAAGAAGCACCGGCUAACUACGUG
rnacentral:rRNA from 1 species